UUUGACCUCAGCUCAGUCGUGAAUACCCGCUGAAUUUAAGCAUAUAACUAAGCGGAGGAAAAGAAACUAACGAGGAUUCCCUUAGUAACUGCGAGUGAAAGGGGAAAA
rnacentral:rRNA from 2 species